rnacentral:rRNA from 1 species
UUCCAGCGAUGAAAUCCUUCGGGAUGGAUUANCGGCGGACGGGUGAGUAACACGUUGGGUUAACCUGCCUCAAAGAGGGGAAUAGCCUUCCGAAAGGAAGAUUAAUACCGCAUAAUAUGUUUUGGUCGCAUGACUAGAACAUCAAAGGAGCAAUCCGCUUUGAGAUGGACCCGCGGCGCAUUAUCUAGUUGGUGAGGUAACGGCUCACCAAGGCGACGAUGCGUAGCCGACCUGAGAGGGUGAUCGGCCACAUUGGAACUUAGACACGGUCCAGACUCCUACGGGAGGCAGCAGUGGGGAAUAUUGCGCAAUGGGGGAAACCCUGACGCAGCAACGCCGCGUGAAUGAUGAAGGCCUUCGGGUUGUAAAGUUCUGUCUUCUGGGACGAUAAUGACGGUACCAGAGGAGGAAGCCACGGCUAACUACGUGCCAUCAGCCGCGGUAAUACGUAGGUGGCCAGCGUUGUCCGGAUUUACUGGGCGUAAACGAUGCGUAUGCGGACAUUUAAGUCAAGAUGUGAAAUAUCCCGAUCUUAUCUUGGGUGCAGCGUUUGAAACUGGUUGUCUAUUGUGCUGGAGAGGUAAUUGGAAUUCCUUA